CCGAGAUCAACGAAAGAAAUCCUAAUGCAUAUCAUUAUCAAAUAAUUUGUGGGGUUUAACGUAAUGUGACAACUUAACAUGGUAUCUAGCUAUUGAUCAGAUCUUAAUUCAGAGUGAAGGAAUCUUAUUGACUUCUAUUUGAACGAGGAAUUGUUCUGCUAUUUUCUACUUGGAUCGACGAUGCAAUGACAAAUGGGAAAAUCUGGACAUGGUAACACAUGAUAUGGACAGCCAUGUGAUCAUGGUUUGGAUUGAGGUGGACAAGUGCUGGAGUUUUUGAUCCUGACCACCUAGCGAGUUUGAAUAAUUAUCUUCGAUUACCCUUUUUUAAUCUUUGUUUUGAAUAAGUUUUCGAGAUUAGUUGUGUUUAUUCUGUCAUUCUACAGCCAGUAAGAAUAAAUUAGCUCUAACCGAGGAUUAAGACACAAACAUCAAAGACUCUUGCACAGUGUCUUGCAUAUGGCCGGGGAAUAUGAAAAGAAAAAUACCCUUGAGAGAAUUCACAGCCAGAGAAGAUAAUAAAAUCUAUGCUACACAAAUAUCCUAAGAAUCUUCAAGAGAAUUUUGUGGGCGUAGGAGAGAAAAAAAGUGGAAAAAAUAUAUAAAAAAAAAACUCUCUUAAUUAUCACAAGAAAAAAAGAAAAAGGUGCGGUGCGUGGUCAAAACUAGUUUUAUGCAAAAUUAUACGCAUAAAAUGUCAAUAACAAGUUCUUGCUAUGCAUGUCUAUAUGCACGAUUGAGAUUGAUAUGAUCCACAUAACUAUUCUGGAUAAUUUUUUUUUCUUAAGCCUGUGAUGAAACAGGGGAUGCAACAUCUUGAAGUAAUCAUAGCUCCACGGACCAUAACUCUCCGUUGAUAAGUUAAGGAGUAAGGGAUAAGAUCGGAAAAGGAUUACAAGCAGGCGAGCAUGGUUGUUAAAUAUCGUCUAACUAGCCCACCACACGCAGCUCCGGGAGGAUUAUUUUGCAGUAGGUCGAGGCUCAAAACUACAGGAAAAGGCCUGCAAAGUACUGAAUGGCGAUGGAUGAUAAUUGAUAUAGGUAGGUUAGUGUAGGCUGUGGUUGAUUUGAGCAAAGAGCUGAACCCUAACCCUAGUACUAGAAUGCUCAUAAAAGGAAAAGGUUGGAAAGUGUACGAUAGAGAAAAAACAAUCAGCUCAGGAUAAUAAU
rnacentral:lncRNA from 1 species